AUUGAACGCUGGCGACAUGCCUUACACAUGCAAGUCGAACGGCAGCACGGGUGCUUGCACCUGGUGGCGAGUGGCGAACGGGUGAGUAAUACAUCGGAACAUGUCCUGUAGUGGGGGAUAGCCCGGCGAAAGCCGGAUUAAUACCGCAUACGAUCUACGGAUGAAAGCGGGGGACCUUCGGGCCUCGCGCUAUAGGGUUGGCCGAUGGCUGAUUAGCUAGUUGGUGGGGUAAAGGCCUACCAAGGCGACGAUCGGUAGCUGGUCUGAGAGGACGACCAGUCACACUGGGACUGAGACACGGCCCAGACUCCUACGGGAGGCAGCAGUGGGGAAUUUUGGACAAUGGGCGAAAGCCUGAUCCAGCAAUGCCGCGUGUGUGAAGAAGGCCUUCGGGUUGUAAAGCACUUUUGUCCGGAAAGAAAUCCUUGGCCCUAAUACGGUCGGGGGAUGACGGUACCGGAAGAAUAAGCACCGGCUAACUACGUG
rnacentral:rRNA from 1 species